AGCCGAGCCACCUCCUCACUGUUGAUGUAGUGCGGCGAUGGCUGCAGACCUUUCAUCCGAUCUGAAGCGAUGUUGUUGUAAAGAGAAGCCGCCGCGUGACUCCCUGGAUCCUCCACGUAGAUGUUGAAGUUGGCCUUGUGCCGCGGCGUGGACGAAGGUUCACACUGGACGCUGCACGACGCGAGGCUGUUGUCGCCGGAGCGGAACAACAAACCCUCCUCCAUGUGGGUGGAGGUGGUCUGGUCUUUCUUCACAACCGUGAGUUUGGAGAAGCGAGCCCUCCUCCUCCUGGGUUCCCGCUGCGAACCUCUGAAACAGAAUCAAGAUGGUGAAGUUUUACACGUCUGCCUUUAGGUGAGACUUUACAUUUCACAUUUCUGAGAUUUCUUACCCGCAGUGACACAGCAGCAAGGACAGACACCCGAUUACGACAGCCAGCGUUCCUCCCAGUAUUCCAAUCAGCAGGUAGGUGUGGUGUGAAAGGAACUCCAACGUGCUUCCAAAAUCUGAAUGGUCGAAUUCAUACAUAUUUAUGAAUAGACAAGUUAAACUGUAUUUAUGUGUUUUUAUGUGUGAUGUUUGAAGUUUGUAAUCGUACCGUUUGAGGAGGGCAGGGGGGCAGCGAUCCAGAAUCCCAAAUGGGAAGCGGUGUACGUCCAAACCAGUUCCAAACCAACUUUUCUCACUAUUCCAAGACCCUGAUUCUCCCAAGCACCUUCAAACAGACAGUUUAUUAGUUGUGCAUAGUGGUAUCAACAAAUAAAUCAAAGCUGCUCCUCUCUGAUCUGUAUUCAUACCCGUCUUCAGGUUGAAGGCCCAGGCCGGCACAGUGUCCGACGCCCGCAGGUGGGUGCUGUGCCCCAGGGGGAGGCUGAUUUGAAUGGGACCUCGAACCUGGAGCUCCUCGUCCCCCGAGUACAGCAGAACACUGACGGCCGCCACCGCCUUCAGCUCAAUGCUCCUGAACACUGCAGAUGAGAUCACAAGUAAAGCAUUUACAUUUAAAGCUGUGUUCAAAUAGUCCAGACUGGGAGUAAACUGGUUUGAACGUUUAAGAGGCCUCACCUGAUUUGUUGCUGAUGAUGCCAGGAGUGCAGUUGCCACAUCCUUUCGCUAGAUGGUGCUGUGGCACAGUCAGGUAGGCCUUCACUGUGGAGAUGUUGCUCUUAUUGGAGACGGUGAGAAGGUUCUUGGAGAAUUUAACCUUCGGCUGGGAUGAACUGUCUGUGAGAACAAGGCGGGCAAUUAGAAAAAUUCAUCUGGACUCACAUGAGGUGUAUUUAAAUAAUGUAGCUUUGAGUUAGUGUGAUGUUUAUCAGGCAGAAGACGAUUUAACAACAGAUUUGAUUUUGCUCUAAAACAGUUUUAGUGUCUUUGUUUUAUUCACAUUUUAAAUCUCUGCCAUUACUUUGCUCUUGUAUCUGGUCAAUAAAUCCGUUAUUUUUUUUAUUUAAUAUGUGCAACUCAAACUUUAAACCACCAAAGUUAAAUUAAAUCAGGGAGAAACUUAACAUGUUCAACUCAACUCUUAAAAUGUAAAACCAAACUAUAAAAGGAAUGAUGGAUAGUGAAGGUUGUGUUCUUUAUGACAGGGGCCACUUUAAGGAUUUAAAGAAUAAAGACAGAAUAUUAUGGGAAUAAAGUCGUAUUUUAAGCCACGUGUCAUUUUAUACAACAUCAAACAGCCUUGUGAUGAGCACUGGUUCCCUGCAAUGACGUGUUCUCAGCCCCGUGAGGUGGUUAGUCUGGUGACAUGAUGUGAGGAGACUUUCUCAACCUCAAAGACCAGGGGAAUGAUCGUGGAUACGAGAAGGAGAGCUCAUCAGCCGCUGAUCAUCAACUUCCUGGACGUCUACAUCAGCGAUGACAUCACCUGGACACUAAACACCACCCAGCUGGUCAAGAAAGCAGCAACUGUACUUCCUGAGGAGGCUGAGGAAACUCGGCGUGUCACCAAAGAUCCUCAGCGACUUCAGCAUCUUGACCAGCGGCAUCUCCGUGUGGUGUGGGAGCACCACUGCUGCAGGACGUCACUAACAUCUCUGCAGGACAUCUACCACCACAGAGUCCACAGAGGAGCCUGCUCCAUCGAUAAAGACUCCACCAACACAGAAGUUUCCCUCUAUCAGAAACCCUGUUUUCAUUUUAUUUAUGUCCUUUUAACGUGAUUUGUAGUCUUGCUUAUUGUGAAGCACUUUGUAUCUGUGUUGUGAAAACAAUGAGAAGUAUUCUGCACGUACCAGGUAACUUCCUGGUGAUGAGCACCGAGUCGUCAAACAGCCACACGUUGCCCUGACUGUGCGGCAGCAGCAGCAGCGUCACCGCAGAGAAAACUGAGGGACACAAAAACCUCCAGGUCAGAAAUCACACACACACAGAAUACAGCUGUUUUCAUGACAACUUCUACAUGUCAAAGAUGCUCUGGUGCAAGUGUCUUCAGGCAUUUUGGAAAAUAAACAUACAAUUUGUAAUAUAAACUAUUGGUUGUGUUUAGAUGGAGAUAUUUUAUUAUUAUUUUAGCUGUAAACAAGCACAAACUAGAAUGACAUUCAUACGUCCGCCCUCCACCAAGGCUCUACAGUCGAGUUAAAAUUAAAACAAGCCAAUUUUCCUGCUAACGAAUAACCAGACAAACGGGCGGAGAGCUCGAUUCUUUGUGUCAUUAAUUGUUUUAUUAUGAUGUAGAAGCUGUUUAGUUCCUUGCAGGUCUGCACUCGAACCAGCAGAUGGCAUCACCUCAUGCAGCCUGUUUUUAGGGUUCAGCAGCACAAAAGGGAGGCGCCUCUGAUGAUGCAGAGCAGAGCACAGAUGACACAUUUAUUUUAUUUGUCCCUCACAACACCUGCUCCCUCUCUGCUGUAAAACACCACCUCUCUGCUCGCUCCCGGUUUAAUUCCGAGCAGCAGGAGGACGUGGGAUCAUGAACAAUGGAGUCAGACCCAGGCCCCCUUUCCUUUUCUGUGUUUUUUUUUUUUAACACCAGGCACGAGAGCGGUGUGGCUCAGCACCCCACCCCCCCUUCUGCCUCUGAUUCUGUGCAGGACAAAGACAGUGUGCUGAGGCAGGGAUACGUUGAACCUCCGCUCCACACAAUCAAUAAAACGACUGUAGGACACGGUGUUCAGUUACACGAGAGCGUUCAGUGAGAGCAGAGACUGCCUCAUCGUGAACAAGCCUCAGUGACAAGUUGUAUGUUUGCAGACAGUUUCAUUAAUAUCUAAUGACUCUGAAUAAUGCAGGGGGCCUGUGUGAAUUAUGGCUGUGUGGCUAAUUGUACAGAAAACGUUUGUGUGUGUGUGGCGUUUUUAAACCUUUAACUUCCUCUUCAUUAUUCUAUUCAUGCUAAAAUCACGUGUCUCUAUGGAGCAAUGUGCCCUUGAGCAAAGCACUACUACUUAAGGCCUUGAUUGUGUUUGUUCUGCAGACGGAUCGAUCCUCGUUGGAAAAUCCUCUUUACCCUUCAGGAUGAGGUCAGAGGGAGCUGUGACCCUGGACCUGGUCCUUUUUAAAAAAGCCGUGAUAACUCACUGGGUCUCUUUGUGGUGCUCCAUGGCAGCGAGCUGGGUACGUAGCCUUCCUUGUUGCCCAGCAGGGUCAGACUGAGGCCCGGGCUGUAGGACACCCAGAGCAGAACCUCGCCUCUCGGCCCCGUCGCCACGGAGCUCCUCAGCGUGUGGUUCAGGUAAACGUCCACCGAGGCCCCCGGCAGCGGCUGACGGGUCACCACAUCCCUCACCAGCACUCUGAGGGCAAACCGGGGCUCUGGAGAGAAGGACGCACAGAGAGAGUCCUGUUAAAUCUUCAAACAUCAUGCGUCUCUGCAUGCGCUCCAUCAGCAUGCAGACCUUUCCCUCGCCAUGAAAAAGUGAUGAGGCCAGCACGGCUGAGAAAAUGAACCCAGUGGCAUCAGAGAGGAAGAGCCACGCUCGCCAUGUAAGACGUUUCACCUCCCAGCACGAUUCUCAUUCUUAACGUCACAGUAAAACAUGUAAAUUCAUCUUUAUCCUGGAGUUGACGCUGACGUGGCUGCAGGAGUUCACUCGGGGAAGAAUCGGUGUGUGUUUUUAUUGUGUAGUUCACAUUUCACGGCUCACAAACCAGAUGUAAACACAGACUUUGCAGCAGUGAGGUCAUCGGUGUAUCAGCAGAGGAUUAUCCCCUGCUGUAGAUAAAACCCUUCACACCUUCACGUUAUACUUAAUCCUGCAAAUUAUAUUCAAUAACCUAUAGACCAGAUUAAAUAGUCAGUUUAGGCUUUAGAAAUCCAGGGUUAAUUAAUCUGAUGAGGCUUUUCACUUUGCAUCUUUUACUUUGAUUGGUCAUUACCUUUAAAAACACGUAUUAUAGUCUCUCAGCUGCAGGGAAAUAAGGUUUUAAACACAAAAGUCUUUUCAGAAAAGUAUUAAGCAAAUUGUUUAUUUUGGUAUUUUAUAUCUGCGAAUUUGCUGUGAUGAGAUAAAACACAACGUCAACACAAAAACAAAAAUUCCGUCGUGAGUCACAGGUAAUUAACAUCCUCUCUAACAAUGAGCUGGAGGCCUUUGUGUACAAAUCACCUUCUGUCCGGGCCGAGGGGGCCGAGGGGCCGCGGGUGGCUCCCGGGGAGGUCGGGUCUAUGACCGCGGCGUGGUCUCCAUUGUCCCCGGGCGAAGAGGAGGGCAGGCCGCCGCCCUCCUCCGCCGCCCUCGCCGCCUCAUCCAGGCAGCAGAUGAGGAGCAGCGACGGCAGGAGGAGCAGCAGCGGCGGCAGGGAGCGUUCAUGAGCGGGCAUGGCGAGAGGGGGAGCAGGCUCACAGACAUUACGGACCACGGAGAAGAACCGGGUCCGGUGAUCGUUACGGCCUCAUCCCCCCUCAGCGUCGGUGUCGGUGCGGACUCCCGCGGUCAGAAGAUGCGCUGGUGCUGAUGCUGGGCGUGUGUCAGAUCGUUUACCAACACAGAUGAGUCACUCGGUGGAGAAAAACAAUGCUCAUCAACAUGGCCCUAAAUAGAAUAUUGAAUAAUUGAAUUCUGUUAUUUCUUAUUUAGUUUGUGUUUUGAUUUAAAUUUAUUCUUGUGUUUUGGUUUUUUUUCUAAUAUUUUUAUCACAUUUUAUUGACUGAAGCAUUUUUGCUAUUUAUAGAUUGAAAGUCGGUGGAAGUCGAUUGAAAGAACGACAGAGUGAUACAUCCUGACGUGUUGAAUAUCUUUGUGAAGACGGAAGAUGCUGUUACAUCAUUGGGCUCCACAUGGCGCCCCCUGGUGGCAGCAGUUACAGAGAGGAGACCCCCCACGGAGCCACCAGGAGAGCUGCU